UGGGGAAUAUUGCACAAUGGGCGCAAGCCUGAUGCAGCCAUGCCGCGUGUAUGAAGAAGGCCUUCGGGUUGUAAAGUACUUUCAGCGGGGAGGAAGGGAGUAAAGUUAAUACCUUUGCUCAUUGACGUUACCCGCAGAAGAAGCACCGGCUAACUCCGUGCCAGCAGCCGCGGUAAUACGGAGGGUGCAAGCGUUAAUCGGAAUUACUGGGCGUAAAGCGCACGCAGGCGGUUUGUUAAGUCAGAUGUGAAAUCCUCGGGCUCAACCUGGGAACUGCAUCUGAUACUGGCAAGCUUGAGUCUCGUAGAGGGGGGUAGAAUUCCAGGUGUAGAGGUGAAAUGCGUAGAGAUCUGGAGGAAUACCGGUGGCGAAGGCGGCCCCCUGGACAAAGACUGACGCUCAGGUGCGAAAGCGUGGGGAGCAAACAGG
rnacentral:rRNA from 1 species